AGUGCUGAUCAGACCUAGUAAGCACAAAGUCGCAAAUAUCCCAGACACCCUGACCACAGACACACAUGUAUACCAAGGACAGGAAUAAAUACCUAAAACUGUAAGGCACUGCCACCUUCUUAGAUGUCUUGGUGAGAGGUCCACUGUUCAGAGGGCACACUGAGAUAUAAGGCGAAGGCCUUUUUGGAUCUGUAGUGUGCUACCUCUUUAAUGGGAAAUCUUAGAGGCUAUCAGUAUUGAAUGGUGACCAGAGGAAAAUACUGCUCUACAUAUAGGUCUGGGCUGUCAUACAAACUGAUCUGCUACUGGGGCCUCAUGACCUAGCAGAUCCAAAAGUAUUCAACAUGUUUGUGGCAGAUGCAAAUGCUGUUUAGAACCUUCGAGAGGUCGCUGUAGAAGCACAAUGCAAAACUUCAGGAUUUUGGAGCAAAACUUUGUCAUCUUUUGCACACACAGUGUUCUCUUUUGAUAGCUCCUGGUGUGCUACUGGACCUUAGUAGAGAUAGAAUGUCUGACUCUGAGCCACUAAGUAACCAUUCAACCUCUUCUGCCCUUCAAGAACUGGGAAAUGUCUGAAAAAACAAGUAAUGAAACGUGUGUAUAGCAGCACUCCAUUACAAGUUGUAGUUUUAUAUACGAGAUUGGUCUCAAGCAAGACCUAAAGGUAAAAGUAAGAGGCUCAGAUUUGCAUGGCUCCUCCUCUUGCUGCAUUAACUGCUGUCUCUCAACGCAAGCAUACUGUAACAUAUUGAUGGAGGAGGAAAAUGCUGAGUCUCGUUUACUGAUAAUUCUAUGUAACAUGCUGGCAUCACCUAAAGUGGAGAACUGCGAGAUUACUGCCCCAUCCAAGAAAACCCUUCAGCAGCCCCAUUCUUCAGGAACCGUGAAGGACUAUGGCAAAGAGAUGAUAAAUAGCCAAAGACGUCAAUGGCACCCAUGGACAUAGUAAGCAUAGUAGGAGCUGAAAAACUAGAAGCAAUGACAAUGUCAACUAUUUUGAGCAAAAAGAAGCAGUGUCUUCGGAACAUUUGAUCAUAAAACCAGAAAUUAAAGGAUGAGAAAAACA
rnacentral:lncRNA from 10 species